rnacentral:rRNA from 1 species
UGGCUCAGGACGAACGCUGGCGGCGUGCCUAAUACAUGCAAGUUGAGCGCUGAAGGUUGGUACUUGUACCAACUGGAUGAGCAGCGAACGGGUGAGUAACGCGUGGGGAAUCUGCCUUUGAGCGGGGGACAACAUUUGGAAACGAAUGCUAAUACCGCAUAAAAACUUUAAACACAAGUUUUAAGUUUGAAAGAUGCAAUUGCAUCACUCAAAGAUGAUCCCGCGUUGUAUUAGCUAGUUGGUGAGGUAAAGGCUCACCAAGGCGAUGAUACAUAGCCGACCUGAGAGGGUGAUCGGCCACAUUGGGACUGAGACACGGCCCAAACUCCUACGGGAGGCAGCAGUAGGGAAUCUUCGGCAAUGGACGAAAGUCUGACCGAGCAACGCCGCGUGAGUGAAGAAGGUUUUCGGAUCGUAAAACUCUGUUGGUAGAGAAGAACGUUGGUGAGAGUGGAAAGCUCAUCAAGUGACGGUAACUACCCAGAAAGGGACGGCUAACUACGUGC